CAUAGGGUGAAAGUCCCGAAGCGGCAGAAGGUCGAAGCCGCGUAGCUUGGGUGGCGCCCGGCGGGGAGAUCCCCCGGGUGAAGCCCACCGACAAAGCCCCGCAUGGCGGGGUGAGCGAGCGCGCGGGCCGCAACGAGG
rfam:Sorangium cellulosum 'So ce 56' complete genome